UUAAAACUCAAAUGAAUUGACGGGGGCCCGCACAAGCGGUGGAGCAUGUGGUUUAAUUCGAUGCAACGCGAAGAACCUUACCUGGUCUUGACAUCCAGAGAAUCCUGCAGAGAUGCGGGAGUGCCUUCGGGAACUCUGAGACAGGUGCUGCAUGG
rnacentral:rRNA from 1 species